rnacentral:rRNA from 1 species
AUGAACGCUGGCGGCGUGCUUAACACAUGCAAGUCGAACGAGAAGGGGAGACGGAAACCUUCGGGCGGAAGACUUUAUUUCGAGUGGCGGACGGGUGAGUAACGCGGGGGUAACCUGCCUCAUACAGGGGGAUAACAGGUGGAAACGACUGUUAAUACCGCAUAAGACCACAGCACCGCAUGGUGCGGGGGUAAAAACUCCGGUGGUAUGAGAUGGACCCGCGUUCGAUCAGCCAGUUGGCGGGGUAACGGCCCACCAAAGCGACGAUCGAUAGCCGAUCUGAGAGGAUGACCGGCCACAUUGGGACUGAGACACGGCCCAAACUCCUACGGGAGGCAGUAGUGGGGAAUAUUGCACAAUGGGGGAAACCCUGAUGCAGCGACGCCGCGUGAGUGAAGAAGUAUUUCGGUAUGUAAAGCUCUAUCAGCAGGGAAGAAAAUGACGGUACCUGAGUAAGAAGCCCCGGCUAACUACGUG